CGAACACAACGCACCGCGCGGUUUAUUGACGCUCCCUUUAUUUUUUUUUUGUUUCACCGGAACUCAAGUCACCGCUUCCACUGCGCGGUUCAUUCACGCUCUCUUCAAUCUUCACCACCUUUUUGUUUCACUCCAUUAUUGCCGCUCGUCUUCAAUCUCCCUCCUAUUUAUAAUUAAUAAAUAAAAAACUUGUAUUCUAUUUCCUUCUAAAACCUCUUUACAGUAAUUGUAAUGGCAAACUCCAGCGAAGGUCCGACCCAACCCUAUCACCCUUAUCAUUAUCGAUUUCUGUUUCAGUUACUUAAGCCAAAUCCUCACCAUCACACUUUUUCAUCUUCUUCUUUUGCUUCUAAUACUUUCCAACAUUCCUUCCUUGGCAGGCUUCCCUUUCCUUCAAAUUACUCUCCUCAAAAUAAAACUAAUAAUACUAUCUUCGAUCAUUCUUCUGAUGUUAUUAAUAAUAUUAAUCACAGAGAAGAUACACAUUCCGAUUUUGGUAGGCUUUCGUUGAAGCAAACAAAUGAAUUAGGCAAAUCUUUGACUCGGACUACUGGACAAGCAGCCACCCCUGGAUGUAGGAAAGUAGUCAGUGAUCCUUUUCUAGGACCAGACUCUUGCAUAGGUGGUAAAAUUAAUAGGAAAUGUAAGGUUUUAAAACAUACUGUCUGUGAUUCAAAGACCGAAUGUUGGUAAUGCCCUUAUUCUUUAUCUAUUUGCUUAUCAUUGCAGAUGUCAAUAUGUUGAGCUAUUUUGAUUGACAGGUAUACUGACCAUUAUAUUGUCCCUGCUUUAAUUGCCAAAGGCUCCUAGUGGUUUGAAUUCAGCUAAUAGUUGCUGAUAUGACAGUUCUGUAGGCCUGUUAACAAGGAAAUUCAUCAAUUUGAUUCAUGAGGCUAAAGAUGGCACCCUUGAUCUGAAUCAUACUGCAGAAGUGUUGGAGUUUCAUUACAGGCCGGGGUUGGAAGUUUAUACGCUGAAGAAUGCAGGAUUGAUGAUUGUAUAAGGUACUUAUUUUUGACAGAGGAAGAUAUUGCCAGUCUGCCAUGUUUCCAGAAUGAGACACUGAUUGCAAUUAAAGUUCCUCAAGCAAGCUAUAUUGAAGUUCCUGAUCCUGAUGAGGAUAUUGUUUUUCUAAAUGGCAAUGCAAAAUGAUUAUUCAAAGUACCACGGGGCCAAUUGAUUUAUACCUUCUGAGCAAAUACCAGAGUCAAGGUGACACUAUUGAGCAGUCCCAAUCAGCAAAUUCAUCUACUUGGAACAGUGGCCCAUGCGGAGUGCAAAACUUUGGGCUGUCUUGGGAACAUGAGGAUAAUAAAAAAAGUCAUGAAACAUUCAGCUCAGUGAGCUCAGAGGCAUCAAAUCAAAGGAACUUCAUCUAAGUUGUGUGCAUCUGAAAUGUUGCAGAUUGAUGAUGAUUAUUGGUUCAGAUCAGAUCCUGUGGUCAGCAUCACAAAUUUGCGGAGCAACUAAUACGUUUAUUAACUUUCAGUGGCUGGAAUAUGUUGGUUCUGGUCUUGCACUAGUGACAGCUUUAAGGUUGGUUUUACCCUAUUUAACCAUUAGGAAAAUGUAUAUAUUUGCCAUAUAGUUCUCUACAGCUCACAGUAAAUGAACUCUGGACAAAGGAAGGUGACCUCCUUAGCGAUGAUGCCGCUGUGGCUCAGCUAAUGGACACUGGUACCCAUUAUAUUUUGAGCUGUAAAUUUUGUAGCUAGACUUCUUUUUUUUUUUAAUCCUUUUAACUCAAUUAGAGUAUUAAAUAAAGAGAAGCUUAGAGAA